rnacentral:rRNA from 1 species
AGUGAACGCUGGCGGUAGGCCUAACACAUGCAAGUCGAACGGCAGCACAGUAAGAGCUUGCUCUUACGGGUGGCGAGUGGCGGACGGGUGAGGAAUACAUCGGAAUCUACUUUUUCGUGGGGGAUAACGUAGGGAAACUUACGCUAAUACCGCAUACGACCUACGGGUGAAAGCAGGGGAUCUUCGGACCUUGCGCGAUUGAAUGAGCCGAUGUCGGAUUAGCUAGUUGGCGGGGUAAAGGCCCACCAAGGCGACGAUCCGUAGCUGGUCUGAGGGGAUGAUCGGCCCCACUGGAACUGAGACCCGGUCCAGACUCCGACGGGAGGCAGAGGUGGGGAAUAUUGGAAAAUGGGCGCAAGCCUGAUCCAGCCAUACCGCGUGGGUGAAGAAGGCCUUCGGGUGGUAAAGCCCUUUUGUUGGGAAAGAAAAGCAGCAGGUUAAUACCCCGCUGUUCUGACGGUACCCAAAGAAUAAACACCGGCGAACUUCGU